AGAGUUUGAUCCUGGCUCAGAUUGAACGCUGGCGGAAUGCUUUACACAUGCAAGUCGAGCGGCAGCGCGGGGGCAACCCUGGCGGCGAGCGGCGAACGGGUGAGUAAUACAUCGGAACGUGCCCAGUAAUGGGGGAUAACACAGCGAAAGUUGUGCUAAUACCGCAUACGCCCUGAGGGGGAAAGCGGGGGAUCGCAAGACCUCGCGUUAUUGGAGCGGCCGAUGUCGGAUUAGCUAGUUGGUGAGGUAAAGGCUCACCAAGGCGACGAUCCGUAGCGGGUCUGAGAGGACGGCCCGCCACACUGGGACUGAGACACGGCCCAGACUCCUACGGGAGGCAGCAGUGGGGAAUUUUGGACAAUGGGGGCAACCCUGAUCCAGCCAUUCCGCGUGAGUGAAGAAGGCCUUCGGGUUGUAAAGCUCUUUCGGCAGGAACGAAACGGUCGUCGCUAAUACCGAUGGCUAAUGACGGUACCUGAAGAAGAAGCACCGGCUAACUACGUGCCAGCAGCCGCGGUAAUACGUAGGGUGCGAGCGUUAAUCGGAAUUACUGGGCGUAAAGCGUGCGCAGGCGGUUUUAUAAGACAGAUGUGAAAUCCCCGGGCUUAACCUGGGAACUGCGUUUGUGACUGUAAGACUCGAGUGUGGCAGAGGGGGGUGGAAUUCCACGUGUAGCAGUGAAAUGCGUAGAGAUGUGGAGGAACACCGAUGGCGAAGGCAGCCCCCUGGGUCAACACUGACGCUCAUGCACGAAAGCGUGGGUAGCAAACAGGAUUAGAUACCCUGGUAGUCCACGCCCU
rnacentral:rRNA from 1 species